GUCACGUCGCUAUGUUUUGCUCAAACUGUGGAAAAGAGCUGGUCGAGCCGUCACCAAACUUUUGCAGCAGUUGUGGCAAGAGGCUUGAAGUUUGUCCGGAGGAUACUCCACAAUGUUCAACACAACAGUCUGUCCCAUCCUGCCCUACACCAGCCCUCAGCACCUUCCUUGAAUACAGAAAAAAGAAAAACGAGGAGCGACAAAAGUAUUCUCUUGGGAGAAAGGGAUUAAAGCAAAAGGACAAACUUAAAGUUCGGAUAAAUAUUGGCUUGAUGGCCAUUCAGAAGAAUUGUCUAAAGCCUCAACGUGGAAGAACUAUUACUCUGCUAACAAACCCGGAUGUCUCUCCCACACCUCUGCUCAGUCUUGCAGUUAAAAAAAUGAAGGACUUUAACCAAUAUUUGAAAGAUGGACCUUUCCUCCUUCUGUACCCAGAUGGGACAGAGGUUAUUAAUAUUCCUGGGACACAGACGCCUUUUACCCUUGCAGCCUAUAAGGCUGAACUUGGCAAGCCCUAUCAAAGGAUAUGAUGUUUGCUACAGGUCUCGCAGCAAUUCCACCAGCGGGCAUGAUGCCAUCCCCACAUCUGGAGUUUUUGAGUGACUCACCCUUUCCUGUUGCGAACACCUGUGCAAAUACACCAAAAUUACCACUUUCUGAAUCUUAUGCUGCUUUUAGGGCUAACAUGGACUUUGGAAUACAAAAUGCUGCGGGAUUCGGAUGCUACUGAAAAUUUCUUGGCAGUCUUGUUUUAAUUCUGUUGCGAUUCAGCUAAUUUUGUUACAGUUACUCCAUGGGCCAGACCAUGUUGCUGUCUAAUUCAGAGUGGCAAAACCUUGCCCUAAUUUCUCAAAAGAUUAGAUAUGAUUUCCCUUAUAAAGUGAUAGUUUAGAAAUUGCUAUCAGCACAAUCCCUUUGUGCAAACUAUGUAUUUUUGUUUUUGAUGUUUUUCUUACCAUAAUUUAAAAGAUUAUAGCAAGACUUUGCCACCUAGACAUAGCUAUAAGCAAUUUAAAAAAAAAUAGAUCUGUAAAUGUAGAUUUAUAUCUAGACUUGAAUUAAGAGUUUAAUGUGUGGAAAUUUCAUCUAAGUUCAGACUGAAUGCACAAUUUGGUGUAUAAAAAAGUUUAAUACACUUUGUUUCUGUUCUGUAUAACAAUGAGGUUUUAUUUAAGAAAAAUCAACAGGAGACAAAAUAUUAAAAGAUUGGAUUCUGGCUUUUGUUGUUCACAGCCUCGCUGUGUGUUUGAGCAAUAAAUACAGUUCCAUAGCUGA